GGCAGCGGGGAGUAGCUUGCUACUCUGCCGGCGAGCGGCGGACGGGUGAGUAAAGUCUGGGGAUCUGGCUUAUGGAGGGGGGUAACCAUUGGAAACGGUGGCUAAUACCGCAUGAUGUCGCAAGACCAAAGUGGGGGACUUUAGGGCCUCACGCCAUAAGAUGAACCCAGAUGAGAUUAGCUAGUAGGUGCGGUAAUGGCGUACCUAGGCGACGAUCUCUAGCUGGUCUGAGAGGAUGACCAGCCACACUGGAACUGAGAAACGGUCCAGACUCCUACGGGAGGCAGCAGUGGGGAAUAUUGCACAAUGGGCGGAAGCCUGAUGCAGCCAUGCCGCGUGUGUGAAGAAGGCCUUAGGGUUGUAAAGCACUUUCAGCGGGGAGGAAGGCGGUAAGAGUAAUAUGCUUAUCGAUUGACGUUACCCGCAAAAGAAGCACCGGCUAACUCCGUGCCAGCAGCCGCGGUAAUACGGAGGGUGCGAGCGUUAAUCGGAAUAACUGGGCGUAAAGGGCAUGUAGGCGGUAAGUUAAGUCAGAUGUGAAAUCCCCGAGCUUAACUUGGGAACGGCAUUUGAGACUGGCGGGCUAGAGUUUUGUAGAGGGGGGUAGAAUUCCAGGUGUAGCGGUGAAAUGCGUAGAGAUCUGGAGGAAUACCGGUGGCGAAGGCGGCCCCCUGGAC
rnacentral:rRNA from 1 species